rnacentral:rRNA from 1 species
GCGGACGGGUGAGUAACACGUGGGUAACCUGCCCUUAAGUGGGGGAUAACAUUUGGAAACAGAUGCUAAUACCGCAUAGAUCCAAGAACCGCAUGGUUCUUGGCUGAAAGAUGGCGUAAGCUAUCGCUUUUGGAUGGACCCGCGGCGUAUUAGCUAGUUGGUGAGGUAAUGGCUCACCAAGGCGAUGAUACGUAGCCGAACUGAGAGGUUGAUCGGCCACAUUGGGACUGAGACACGGCCCAAACUCCUACGGGAGGCAGCAGUAGGGAAUCUUCCACAAUGGACGCAAGUCUGAUGGAGCAACGCCGCGUGAGUGAAGAAGGCUUUCGGGUCGUAAAACUCUGUUGUUGGAGAAGAAUGGUCGGCAGAGUAACUGUUGUCGGCGUGACGGUAUCCAACCAGAAAGCCACGGCUAACUACGUGCCAGCAGCCGCGGUAAUACGUAGGUGGCAAGCGUUAUCCGGAUUUAUUGGGCGUAAAGCGAGCGCAGGCGGUUUUUUAAGUCUGAUGUGAAAGCCCUCGGCUUAACCGAGGAAGCGCAUCGGAAACUGGGAAACUUGAGUGCAGAAGAGGACAGUGGAACUCCAUGUGUAGCGGUGAAAUGCGUAGAUAUAUGGAAGAACACCAGUGGCGAAGGCGGCUGUCUGGUCUGUAACUGACGCUGAGGCUCGAAAGCAUGGGUAGCGAACAGGAUUAGAUACCCUGGUAGUCCAUGCCGUAAACGAUGAAUGCUAGGUGUUGGAGGGUUUCCGCCCUUCAGUGCCGCAGCUAACGCAUUAAGCAUUCCGCCUGGGGGAGUACGACCGCAAGGUUGAAACUCAAAGGAAUUGACGGGGGCCCGCACAAGCGGUGGAGCAUGUGGUUUAAUUCGAAGCAACGCGAAGAACCUUACCAGGUCUUGACAUCUUUUGAUCACCUGAGAGAUCAGGUUUCCCCUUCGGGGGCAAAAUGACAGGUGGUGCAUGGUUGUCGUCAGCUCGUGUCGUGAGAUGUUGGGUUAAGUCCCGCAACGAGCGCAACCCUUAUGACUAGUUGCCAGCAUUUAGUUGGGCACUCUAGUAAGACUGCCGGUGACAAACCGGAGGAAGGUGGGGAUGACGUCAAAUCAUCAUGCCCCUUAUGACCUGGGCUACACACGUGCUACAAUGGAUGGUACAACGAGUUGCGAGACCGCGAGGUCAAGCUAAUCUCUUAAAGCCAUUCUCAGUUCGGACUGUAGGCUGCAACUCGCCUACACGAAGUCGGAAUCGCUAGUAAUCGCGGAUCAGCACGCCGCGGUGAAUACGUUCCCGGGCCUUGUACACACCGCCCGUCACACCAUGAGAGUUUGUAACACCCGAAGCCGGUGGCGUAACCCUUUUAGGGAGCGAGCCGUCUAAGGUGGGACAAAUGAUUAGGGUGAAGUCGUAACAAGGUAGCCGUAGGAGAACCUGCGGCUGGAUCACCUCC